rnacentral:tmRNA from 1 species
AAAAGUUAUUCUUUCGUUCGAGAUGGUUCCGACGUAACGGGCUAAUUAUAAAUGCAAAUGAUAAAUUUGCUCUUGCUGCUUAAUUAACUUUGUUAAUUUAGCAAACGGGGUUCGGGGCACCUGGCAACAGAACGCCCCUUAA